ensembl:miRNA MIR125B2 microRNA 125b-2
GACUUUUCCUAGUCCCUGAGACCCUAACUUGUGAGGUAUUUUAGUAGCAUCACAAGUCAGGCUCUUGGGACCUAGGCGGAGGGGA